GCUGUACCUAGCCCAAAAAACCAAAAUACAACUACAAUCACCAACUAAAACAAAACAUUUAACCAUCACCAAAAGUAUAGGAGAUAGAAAUUACAACAAGGCGCUAUAGAGAAAGUACCGUAAGGGAAUGAUGAAAGAACUAUUCCAAAGCACCAAACAGCAAAGAUUACCCCUUGUACCUUUUGCAUAAUGAUUUAACUAGAAUAACUUAGCAAAGAGACCUUAAGUUAAGCUCCCCGAAACCAGACGAGCUAUUCAUGAGCAGCUUCACAGAGCAAACUCAUCUAUGUAGCAAAAUAGUGAGAAGACUUAUGAAUAGAGGUGACAAGCCUACCGAGCCUGGUGAUAGCUGGUUGUCCAGAAAAGAACUUCAGUUCAACUUUAAGCCUACCUAAAAAUUUCCCUAAUUCAACUGUAGACUUAAAAUAUAGUCUAAAAAGGUACAGCCUUUUAGACAUAGGAUACAACCUUAACUAGAGAGUAAGUGUAACAAGCUAACCAUAGUUGGCCUAAAAGCAGCCACCAAUAAAGAAAGCGUUCAAGCUCAACAGUCCACCCCUCCUUAAUACCAAUAAUAAACACCAACUCCUAGCACCAAAACUGGACCAUUCUAUAAGUAUAUAGAAGAGAUACUGUUAAUAUAAGUAACAAGAAUUCUAUUCUCCCUAGCACAAGUGUAUAUCAGAACGAAUCCACACUGAUAGUUAACAUAAAUAAAGCCAAACCAAAUAACAAGUCCUUUAUUCCCUUAAUGUUAACCCAACACAGGAGUGCCCCAGGGAAAGAUUAAAAGGAGCGAAAGGAACUCGGCAAACACAAACCCCGCCUGUUUACCAAAAACAUCACCUCUAGCAUACUAAGUAUUAGAGGCACUGCCUGCCCAGUGACAUACGUUCAACGGCCGCGGUAUCCUGACCGUGCAAAGGUAGCAUAAUCACUUGUUCUCUAAAUAAGGACUUGUAUGAACGGCCACACGAGGGUUUCACUGUCUCUCGCUCCCAAUCAGUGAAAUUGACCUCCCCGUGAAGAGGCGGGGAUACAACAAUAAGACGAGAAGACCCUAUGGAGCUUUAAUUAAUUAGCCUAAGAACAAACACUUACAACCAACAAGGAAUAAAAAUCUUCCAAUAGGCUAACAAUUUAGGUUGGGGUGACCUCGGAGCAUAAAACAACCUCCGAGCAAUUACAAAUCUAAACCUACCAGUUAAGACUUCACCACUUAUUGAUCCAAAACUUUUGAUCAACGGAACAAGUUACCCUAGGGAUAACAGCGCAAUCCUAUUCAAGAGUCCCUAUCGACAAUAGGGUUUACGACCUCGAUGUUGGAUCAGGACACCCUAAUGGUGCAGCAGCUAUUAACGGUUCGUUUGUUCAACGAUUAAAGUCCUACGUGAUCUGAGUUCAGACCGGAGUAAUCCAGGUCGGUUUCUAUCUAUUUUACGUCUCUCCCAGUACGAAAGGACAAGAAAGACAAGGCCUCCUUAGACCUAAGCGCCUUCCAGCCCAACAGAUGAUAUAAUCUUAAUCUGAUACGCUAUAACCAUCAAACCCCUAGACACAGGGCUUAGUUAAAG
rnacentral:rRNA from 1 species